CCUACGGGAGGCUGCAGUGGGGAAUAUUGGGCAAUGGGCGCAAGCCUGACCCAGCAACGCCGCGUGAAGGAAGAAGGCCCUCGGGUUGUAAACUUCUUUUAUCAGGGACGAAACAACUGACGGUACCUGAGGAAUAAGCCACGGCUAACUACGUGCCAGCAGCCGCGGGAAUACGUAGGAGGCAAGCGUUAUCCGGAUUUACUGGGUGUAAAGGGCGUGUAGGCGGGAGAGCAAGACAGACGUGAAAUUCCAGGGCUCAACCCUGGAACUGCGUUUGAAACUGUUCUUCUUGAGUGAUUGAGAGGCAGGCGGAAUUCCGUGUGUAGCGGUGAAAUGCGUAGAUAUACGGAGGAACACCAGUGGCGAAGGCGGCCUGCUGGACAUUAACUGACGCUGAGGCGCGAAAGCGUGGGGAGCAAACAGGAUUAGAUACCCUUGUAGUC
rnacentral:rRNA from 1 species